rnacentral:rRNA from 1 species
AAUAUUGCACAAUGGAGGGAACUCGGAUGCAGCAACGCCGCGUGAGUGAAGAAGGUUUUCGGAUCGUAAACUUCUUUGAUGAGGGACGAAAAAAAUGACGGUACCUCAAGAACAAGCCACGGCUAACUACGUGCCAGCAGCCGCGGUAAUACGUAGGUGGCGAGCGUUGUCCGGAAUUACUGGGUGUAAAGGGCGUGUAGGCGGGAAUGCAAGUCAGAUGUGAAAUACCGAGGCUUAACACUGGAAUUGCAUUUGAAACUGUGUAGCUUGAGUGCAGGAGAGGAAAGUGGAAUUCCUAGUGUAGCGGUGAAAUGCGUAGAGAUUAGGAGGAACACCAGUGGCGAAGGCGACUUUCUGGACUGUAACUGACGCUGAGGUACGAAAGCGUGGGGAGCAAACA